UCCAGAGUUGGAAAGAGUUCUUCUGUCUAUAUAAAUUCUGUGUCCUUGACAGACUCAGCACCUCUUUCCCAGUUUGGUGAGAUUUAUCAAGAUGAAGAAUUUUGUUCUUCUUGCGUUUUCUGUCCUUCUGUUCUGCACAAUUGCACAAGGUCUUGUUUGCAGAGUUUGUAAAUACAAAAUCGGCUUACUGUGUUUUAAACCUGGAGACCCCUGCAAACCUAAGCCUGGCCAGCUAUGUGAGACAACCGAAGUUUAUACAGCUGGCUUUCUGUUCUAUAAAAAUUACGGGUGUGGUGAACAUAGAGAACUCUGUGGCAGGUCCGAACGGAGGGACACUUUAUUUGGAAGAAUCUACAAGCAUACCUGCUGCGAUACCGAUUUAUGCAAUAAGGACUAAGCUUCAACGUCCAAUGUUUAGCACAGCUCGGCUUGGGAAGGCAGGGGAAAGCUGUAAUGCUGUAAAGGCUGAUCCUGAUGUGUUUUUUCUUUUUUCUUUUCUCCCGGCUUAAAAGAAACACCCACAUUGUUCUCCCAUCCCUUUGUUUUUGUUGUCGUCCCUACCUACGCCAGAACAUGGUCUCACUUUCCAACCCUUUGUGAUCAUAAUGGCAGCUCACACCACAAAGCUGCCCGUUUUGUGAGCUCUUUCGGAAGAAAGAGUAAGAAGUAAGACCACCCAUUUCCGGAGGCACACUUACGGUAGAUCAUUUUGGAGGUUGGAUGGCAUCUCCUCCAUACCCUCCUGAGAAAAUACAUAGCUUUUCGUCCACUAUCCCAAAGGUGCUUUUUCAGGAGGUAACUGGAAUGUCUUGGUUUUUUGUUGUUGUUUUGAGGACAUUUCGCUUCUCAUCCAAGAAGCUUCUUCAGCUCUGACUGGAUGGUGGGGAAUGGAAAGAUUUAUAUUCCUUGCAGUCAGCUGAUCAUUUGCAUCCUUUUAGAGGGUCGUUGAAGCACUUGGAGGUUUAUCUGUGUCCUCAGGACUUUUAGCUAUACAAUUUGGAAUGAACACUCUUUGAAUGGCUUGGGAGUAGGAAUGGAUUUCCAAAA